rnacentral:rRNA from 2 species
AGUGAACCGCCUGGGGACUACGGCCGCCAGGCUAAAACUCAAGAGAAUUGACGGGGCCCUGCACAAGUGGUGGAGCACGUGGUUUAAUUCGAUGAUAAGCGAAGAACCUUACCUGGGCUUGACAUACUAGCAGUAGGAGCCAGAGAUGGUAACGACCCCUACUUUUGGUAGGGGAACUAGUACAGGUGAUGCAUGGCUGUCGUCAGCUCGUGUCGUGGGACGUUGGGUUAAGUCCCGAAACGAGCGCAACCCCUGUUGUUAGUUGCCAGCGGGUAAUGCCGGGGACUCUAACAAGACUGCUGGUGAAUAGCCGGAGGAAGGAGGGGAUGACGUCAAGUCAUCAUGUCCCUUAUGUCCAGGGCGACACACAUGCUACAAUGGGAGGUACAAAGGGCUGCUAAACCGUAAGGUCAUGCGAAUCCCAGAAAGCCUUCCUUAGUUCGGAUUGAGGUCUGCAACCCGACCUCAUGAAGCCGGAAUCGCUAGUAAUGCACAGGUCAGCCACACUGCGGUGAAUAUGUACUCAGGGCUUGUACACA